AUUGAACGCUGGCGGCAGGCUUAACACAUACAAGUCGAGCGGGGGAAGGAAGCUUGCUACCGGACCUAGCGGCGGACGGGUGAGUAAUGCUUAGGAAUCUGCCUAUUAGUGGGGGACAACAUCUCGAAAGGGAUGCUAAUACCGCAUACGUCCUACGGGAGAAAGCAGGGGAUCUUCGGACCUUGCGCUAAUAGAUGAGCCUAAGUCGGAUUAGCUAGUUGGUGGGGUAAAGGCCUACCAAGGCGACGAUCUGUAGCGGGUCUGAGAGGAUGAUCCGGCACACUGGGAGUGGGACACGGCCCAGAAUCCUACGGGAGGCAGCAGUGGGGAAUAUUGGACAAUGGGGGGAACCCUGAUCCAGCCAUGCCGCGUGUGUGAAGAAGGCCUUAUGGUUGUAAAGCACUUUAAGCGAGGAGGAGGCUACUCUAGUUAAUACCUAGGGAUAGUGGACGUUACUCGCAGAAUAAGCACCGGCUAACUCUGUGCCAGCCGCCGCCGUAA
rnacentral:rRNA from 1 species